rnacentral:rRNA from 1 species
GUGCCAGCCGCCGCGGUAAGACGUAGGAUGCGAGCGUUGUCCGGAUUUAUUGGGCGUAAAGAGCUCGCAGGCGGUUUGUUAAGUUUGGUGUUAAAGAUCGGGGCUCAACUCUGGGACUGCACUGAAUACUGGCAGACUUGAGUGCGGUAGAGGCUAGUGGAAUUCCCAGUGUAGUGGUGAAAUGCGUAGAUAUCGGGAGGAACACCGGUGGCGUAGGCGACUUGCUGGGCCAUAACUGACGCUGAGGAACGAAA